GUCCCUCUUUUUCCCUCUUCUUUCUUUCUCUCCUUUCUCUUCCUCCCCUUCCUUUUCACUCAUUUCUCCUCCUCCCCUUCCUCUCCUUUCUCCCUCCUCCUCCUCAUCUCCUUUCUCCACCCAUUCUCCUCCUCUUCCUUCCAAUCCAUUUCUCCUCCUUAUCUUUUUUCUCUAAGCUGUCCAUAAACCAUCUCCCUACACAGUGGUCUCCUCCACCUUUAUCCUUUUUUUAUCUUUUCCAUCUUCUUCCUCUCCAUCCUCUUCUCCUCCCCUUCCUCCUCCUCCAUCUUAUUUCUUGCUGACGGCCCCUCUUCAUUUCUCUCCUUCCUCCUCAUUCUUUUUGUCUUCAUCUUAUUUCUCCUCUAAACCAACCUAUAAGCUUUAUCCCUUUAGAUGGCCCUCUCUAUAUUACCUUUCCUCACCGGCAAAAAAAUCCUUCCCCUUUUCUUUUCUCUUCACACAUUUCUUCUCCUCUAUGGUAGCUCUCUAUACCUCUUUUUCUUCCUUCUUAUCCAUUUCACCUUCUCAUCCUUCUUUUUUCUCCAAACUGCCCAUAAGUGAUUCUCUUCACAGUGGUCCUUUCCACCUCCGUC
rnacentral:lncRNA from 1 species